GACGAACGCUGGCGGCGUGCUUAACACAUGCAAGUCGAACGGAAAGGCCCUGAAUUUGUGGGGUGCUAGCGUGGCGAACGGGUGCGUAACACGUGAGUAAACUGCCCUUGACUUUGGGAUAACUUCAGGAAACUGGGGCUAAUACCGGAUAGGAACUCCUGCUGCAUGGUGGGGGUUGGAGAGCUUCGGCGGUUGGGGAAGGACUCGCGGCUUAUCAGCUUGUUGGUGGGGUAGUGGCUUACCAAGGCUUUGCCGGGUAGCCGGCCUUAGAAGUUGACCGGGCACCAUGGGACAUAGAAAAGGACCCGAACCCCUCAGGAUGCAUUAGCUGGUAAACUUAGCCAACGGGCGGAAUACUGAUGCAGGAAAUUCCUGUGCGGUAUUAAGUGCUUAGGGUUUGAACCCCCUUUUGCCCUUGAAUAAGCGUUAGGGGCAUUAAUGGGUAAAGAAGCACCGGCUAACUACGUG
rnacentral:rRNA from 1 species